AUUUAAGUAGCUUAAUUUUAGAGCAUAAUAUUGAAAAUAUUGAGGUAAUAUUUUGUAUUUUUAAAUA
rnacentral:tRNA from 1 species